UAGGGAAUCUUCCGCAAUGGACGAAAGUCUGACGGAGCAACGCCGCGUGAGUGAAGAAGGAUUUCGGUUCGUAAAACUCUGUUGUUAGGGAAGAAAAAAUGUAUAGUAACUAUAUACAAAAGAGACGGUACCUAACCAGAAAGCCACGGCUAACUACGUGCCAGCAGCCGCGGUAAUACGUAGGUGGCAAGCGUUGUCCGGAAUUAUUGGGCGUAAAGCGCGCGCAGGUGGUUUAGAAAGUCGGAUGUGAAAGCCCACGGCUCAACCGUGGAGGGUCAGUGGAAACUAAUAAACUUGAGUGCAGGAGAGAAAAGUGGAAUUCCUAGUGUAGCGGUGAAAUGCGUAGAGAUUAGGAGGAACACCGGUGGCGAAAGCGGCUUUUUGGCCUGCAACUGACACUGAGGCGCGAAAGCGUGGGGAGCAAACAGG
rnacentral:rRNA from 1 species